GCCAGGCAUGGUGGUGCAUGCCUGUAAUCCCAGUGAUUUAGGAGGCUGAGGCAGGAGGAACGCGAAUUUGCUGAAUUUAGGGAAUCCGUCUUAU
rnacentral:sRNA from 1 species